rnacentral:rRNA from 1 species
UACGAAGGGUGCAAGCGUUAAUCGGAAUUACUGGGCGUAAAGGGUGCGUAGGCGGUUAGUUAAGUCUAUUGUGAAAUCCCCGGGCUCAACCUGGGAAUGGCAAUGGAUACUGGCUGGCUAGAGUGUGUCAGAGGAUGGUGGAAUUCCCGGUGUAGCGGUGAAAUGCGUAGAGAUCGGGAGGAACAUCAGUGGCGAAGGCGGCCAUCUGGGACAACACUGACGCUGAAGCACGAAAGCGUGGGGAGCAAACAGG